rnacentral:rRNA from 1 species
UACGAAGGGGGCUAGCGUUGUUCGGAAUCACUGGGCGUAAAGCGCACGUAGGCGGAUGUGCCAGUCAGGGGUGAAAUCCCGGAGCUCAACUUCGGAACUGCCUCUGAUACAGCACGUCUUGAGUCCGGAAGAGGUGGGUGGAAUUCCCAGUGUAGAGGUGAAAUUCGUAGAUAUUGGGAAGAACACCAGUGGCGAAGGCGGCUACCUGGACCGGUUCUGACGCUGAGGCGCGAAAGCGUGGGUAGCAAACCAGGAUUGAGAUA